AGUUCAGAAAAAUAAGUAAAAUGAAGGUUGCAAAUGCAGAGCUUAACUGCUAAGAAAAGAAUGCCUGAGUUCGCCUCUUCAAAAUGGGAGCUGUUUCUUCUGCAGAAGUUUGGAUGUCAUGUUUUAAAUUCUAAAAACCUCUUCUGCGACCUUGUGCAGGUCGAUCUUGGCUUACGACUGUAAAUGGAAAACCAAAAGUGGCGGUGGCGGUGUUCUCUGUCAGAGAAACAGCAAAAGUACUAUCGCACAACGAAAUAUUGCACAACUGAAGCAUCGCCUGUGCCUCAUGCUGCUGUUUCAGCAAAGAUCAAGGUCAUCGCCCUUGGAGGGACUUUAUGCAUGGCAGCAUGGUUCGAGUUCCACACGGAGAAUCCUGAAGCUAAUUCUUCCAAGGCAGAGCGGGGCAUGCUGAAAGUUAUCAGAAGGCCGAAAGAAUAAAUCGGUGGUUCAUCUGCAUGUACAACCAUCGUCAAGUGUUAUCAUGUACUGUUUUUUGCAGCUGCAUAAUAUUAAACAGUCCGAGUCUGCCCCAGCAGCCCAUAUG